rnacentral:rRNA from 1 species
AUUGAACGCUGGCGGCAGGCUUAACACAUGCAAGUCGAGCGGGGGAAGGUAGCUUGCUACCGGACCUAGCGGCGGACGGGUGAGUAAUGUUUAGGAAUCUGCCUAUUAGUGGGGGACAACAUCUCGAAAGGGAUGCUAAUACCGCAUAUGUCCUACGGGAGAAAGCAGGGGAUCUUCGGACCUUGCGCCAAUAGAUGAGGCUAAGUCGGAUUAGCUAGGUGGUGGGGUAAAGGCCUACCAAGGCGACGAUCUGUAGCGGGUCUGAGGGGAUGAUCCGCCACACUGGGACUGAGACACGGCCCAGACUCCUACGGGAGGCAGCAGUGGGGAAUAUUGGACAAUGGGGGGAACCCUGAUCCAGCCAUGCCGCGUGUGUGAAGAAGGCCUUAUGGUUGUAAAGCACUUUAAGCGAGGAGGAGGCUACUCUAGUUAAUACCUAGGGAUAGUGGACGUUACUCGCAGAAUAAGCACCGGCUAACUCUGUGCCAGCCGCCGCCGUAA